CUAUUAUUCACCUUCUCUUAGUUGACAGUUCUCAUGCCCGUGGGUUUUUCUGUCACAUCAACGUAACUUUACUUUUAUUCGAUGAUAAAUGAUUCAAUAAAAUAAUUCUUUAUUCUCCUCAUAAAAAUAUGUGUUUAUUUAUUUAGAUGAAUGUCAUUUUCCCCUUUUUCCCUAACAAAAAUCCUAGGACUCCGGUCUUCGGACCUCGGUUCUAGGUUGGCGACCUUGCUCCUAGGUGGGGCUGGGGCUGGGGACGGUUCUUCAAACAAGGCCGACCGAACCGGGACAUCUCAACCUAUAUAUAUA